CAGCCACAUCUUCUGUAUAACUGGCCAAGUUGACCUUCACAGCACAUUUCAAGGAACCUUGUGAAGAUUCUCUCUCUUUUGGUUCCUCCUGCAUAAUUGAUUGUAUAAAGUGCCAACAGAGUGCUUAUACCUAACCUGGGGGUGUCUGAACUAUGAAUAUGUUGAUGUUCUCGGACAAAGUCCCUCUCCCUUUUCCCCUCCUCUUCCCCUUUCCCCCCUCUCUCUCAUUACCUAGUGGCUGCAGUAGUUGGAAAAUGAUGAAUAAACAAGCUGAAAUGAACUUGA